UUUGGUAUCGCACAAUGGGUAAAACUUCCAACCAACUUCAUAACCGCGUGACGAUAUCAAAC
rnacentral:pre_miRNA from 1 species